CGCGUAGGUGGCUUGUCAGGUCUGGUGUGAAAUCUUGGGGCUCAACCCCCAAGCGUGCAUUGGAAACCGGGCUUGCUAGAGUCUGGGAGAGGAGAGUGGAAUUCCUGGUGUAGCGGUGAAAUGCGUAGAUAUCAGGAGGAACACCAGUAGCGAAGGCGGCUCUCUGGAACAGUACUGACGCUGAGGCGCGAAACGCUAGGGGAGCGAACA
rnacentral:rRNA from 1 species